rnacentral:rRNA from 1 species
CCAGACUCCUACGGGAGGCAGCAGUGGGGGAUAUUGCACAAUGGGGGAAACCCUGAUGCAGCGACGCCGCGUGAGUGAAGAAGUAUUUCGGUAUGUAAAGCUCUAUCAGCAGGGAAGAAAUAGCGACCUUUGGGUCGCCAGACGGUACCUGAUUAAGAAGCCCCGGCUAACUACAUGCCAGCAGCCGCGGUAAUACGUAGGGGGCAAGCGUUAUCCGGAUUUACUGGGUGUAAAGGGAGCGCAGACGGCAGGGCAAGUCUGAUGUGAAAGUCCGGGGCUCAACCCCGGGACUGCAUUGGAAACUGUCCGGCUAGAGUGCAGGAGAGGUAAGUGGAAUUCCUAGUGUAGCGGUGAAAUGCGUAGAUAUUAGGAGGAACACCAGUGGCGAAGGCGGCUUACUGGACUGUAACUGACGUUGAGGCUCGAAAGCGUGGGGAGCAAACAGGAUUAGAUACCCCUGUA